rnacentral:rRNA from 1 species
GAUGAACGCUGGCGGCGUGCCUAAUACAUGCAAGUCGAGCGAACAGAUGAGAAGCUUGCUUCUCUGAUGUUAGCGGCGGACGGGUGAGUAACACGUGGGUACCUACCUAUAAGACUGGGAUAACUCCGGGAAACCGGGGCUAAUACCGGAUAAUAUUUUGAACCGCAUGGUUCAAUAGUGAAAGACGGUUUCGGCUGUCACUUAUAGAUGGACCCGCGCCGUAUUAGCUAGUUGGUAAGGUAACGGCUUACCAAGGCGACGAUACGUAGCCGACCUGGGAGGGUGAUCGGCCACACUGGAACGGAGACACGGUCCAGACUCCUACGGGAGGCAGCAGUAGGGAAUCUUCCGCAAUGGGCGAAAGCCUGACGGAGCAACGCCGCGUGAGUGAUGAAGGUCUUCGGAUCGUAAAACUCUGUUGUUAGGGAAGAACAAAUUUGUUAGUAACAGAACAAGUCUUGACGGUACCUAACCAGAAAGCCACGGCUAACUACGUGCCAGCCGCCGCGGUAA